CCUAGGGGUGAAGAGACUAAGAAUCAAGAGAAGGCGCUUGUGGUCCGGCCAGCGCCCUCCUUGGAGGGCUUGGAACCUUGGAGUCCCACGCCCGGAUUCCACCCUUGGAGUCCUGAGGGCUAGACUAGCGGUAGUGUUGGAAACCUUAUUUCUAGGUCUCACAGAGAAAACAGGUGCGUGGGCACGAACCCACCAACACACUGGUAGUCACGCUUUACGGAGACUUUUCAGAACACUUUUUGGCUUUAGAGAGGAAGUGAGGCAGCACCAGAGAGAAAAACAAGAGAGGAACGGAAGAACUUUGCAUUGUCAAGACUUCUACGCAGCCCAAACAAUCUACGCAGCUUUUGGCGUAGCAAACUUUGCUAAGCAUGAAGCAAGACACACGCGGGCAGACAGCAGCUUCCCAGGAACUUCGAUAGAUUGAGGAAAGCGACCGUCAUCCAGCGUGCACAACCUGGAAUUCAUUUUCUUUUGGUCAGUGGCUCAGAAAAGUUAAGCUUGGUACCGAAAAUAUACAGCUGGAAAGCGCCUGGUAGAGUCUGGCCUGGAACUGGCGCUCGGCAAGAAGCAGUUAGGUGGGUUGAUUGUGUGACCCUGCAGUGCCUGGAAUAUCUUUCCUGCGUUCACCGGCCUAUGCCCUGGGGGUGACCCUGCAUUUCCCCUGGUCCCGGAAGCGUCGACUUCCUGGGUACUCACCUCGGUUGACGAUCUUGCCGAAGAGGUGGGGCCCCGGAGCAGUGGGGCAGUUCCAGCGGCGGUUCCGGAACUGCCACUUGCACUCCCGGACUGCGCUCUGCAGCCCACCGCUCACGCUGUGCAGGAUCCCCGGGUUCUGGCGGAUCAACCGCCGCUGCUUGCGGCUCAGCAGUUGCAGACUGGGCUCCAGCACCAGCUGCAGACUCUUGGAGUCGGUUAGCAGGUUCGUAGAGGAGGCUAUGUUCACGAUACCCCUGGUGGGACGCACAAUGGGAGCUCAGACUGGGGAAGGGGACCUGCACUCUAAUCAUAAAGAAGAGUUUCUAACCUCACUCCUCAGAACUAGGAGUUUCUGAACAUACCAAUACAUAGGAGCAUGCACCUGACCUUUGGGAAUACAUACCAGGAGAGUUCGGGGGAGAUCAAUUAUAAGUUGCUGCCUGGGGCAGUGUGUCAGGAAGGAGGUGGCAGCUAUGAUAGGAGAAACCCAGAAGCUUGACUAAGGGAUGCAGAGUGUCUGGUACUGUUGGAAGGAUCUCACUAAAUUGCCUGAGCUGGCCUUGAACUUGUGAUC